rnacentral:rRNA from 1 species
UCCGUAGGGCGCAAGCGUUGUCCGGAAUUAUUGGGCGUAAAGAGCUCGUAGGCGGUUUGUCGCGUCUGCCGUGAAAACCCGAGGCUUAACCUCGGGCCUGCGGUGGAUACGGGCAGACUAGAGGUAGGUAGGGGAGAAUGGAAUUCCCGGUGUAGCGGUGAAAUGCGCAGAUAUCGGGAGGGACACCGGUGGCGAAGGCGGUUCUCUGGGCCUUACCUGACGCUGAGGAGCGAAAGCGUGGGGAGCGAACAGG